UACGGAGGGUGCAAGCGUUAAUCUGAAUUACUGGGCGUAAAGCGUGCGCAGGCGGUUUGUUAAGUCUGCUGUGAAAUCCCCGAGCUCAACUUGGGAAUUGCAGUGGAUACUGGCAAGCUGGAGUACGGUAGAGGAAGGUGGAAUUCCCGGUGUAGCAGUGAAAUGCGUAGAGAUCGGGAGGAACACCAGUGGCGAAGGCGGCCUUCUGGACCAGUACUGACGCUCAUGCACGAAAGCGUGGGGAGCAAACAGG
rnacentral:rRNA from 1 species